GGCAGCCAAGGGAAGCGGAAGAGUUACCUGGGGGUGGGGGGGGGAGGGGUGGAGAGGGGGGGUCUCAUCGCUUCUCGGCCUUUUGACUGGGAUCAAAUGUAGAGGGUCUCGCCAACGACUGCCCCUCCACGCACCCGUUACUGGCGGUUCCAGGCCCGCCCCGCGAUUGUCUAAGGACACAAACUCGGGGGUGUGUGCGGGUGACAUGUUGGAGCCACAGUGUUGUUGCUUGGGCUUUUCUACUGACCCUGCUGCCUGCGCUUUCUCCCUUAAAGCAGAUUUUCUGGAGUCCAGGAUCAGGGGUCGGGUUUUUAUGUAGCGGGGGCCCUACAGAACCUUGGCAGGAGAUGUACAGGAGUCAGGAAUUGUGAAUGCCAAGUGUGCCAGGCACUCUGGGGCUCAUGAGAAAAGGGCCUCGGGCCAGCCAGACUUGACACCCACUUUAAAAUGAAGUUAAAAUGGUAACAUCUAGUGGUAAGCUUUGUAUUUAUUAUUCUGAGCAACAAAGGAAAAGAAUAUCGUGAAUUUUUGAGUUAUUUCUCUGACUUUUGGGUUCUUUUAGCCAGGAAAGUUGAUUUUUUAUUUCUUAAAUACUGUGAAGGAUGAGAGGGGAAAUGGUCCCCUGAUGAUGGAGGGCCGUGGAGCAAAGAGCAAGGGAUCCUGAGGCAUUAGGGAAGCCCCGGGGGCAGUAGUCAGGGUCUUCCUGCAGUCCCGUUUGUGAAUUAGCCGGUGCUCGCAUCUCUUGGCUGGCAUACCUCUGAGGUAGGUGUCAGUCAGUACCGGCUGUGGGUUCAUUUUCCGCUGGCUCUGAAUGUCCUGCCGGAUACAGGGACCCAUUCCGCGGGGACUAAAGCUGCAGUGAGUUCUGUUGCAGCUGAAGCUCCAUCCUGUUCCUCUGGGAAGCCCCCCUCAAGGAACAGUAGGUGGGCCGUGGGACAUGGCCUCUUCGGUUGCUCCAAGGGUUGGCCUCUUUGAAUGCUCAAUUUAGUCAACAUUCAGAACAUAGAACACUAACUAUGACUUAGAGCAAUUUGGUCCACUAUACAUUUGUAAGCAGCACUGAAACAUUUCUUUUUCUCUCUACUGGAUCCCUUCAGAAGUCAGAAACUCUCAGGAUGAUGGUCAUGAUAUUAAAAUAAUCCGAAGUGGACCAUGCUGAUGGAGCAGUUCACAGAAGAGGAACUGGAGAAACCACCUUCCACUGCACACUAAAUGAACUUCAUUUCCCGCUUUUCUCUUUUCCUGUAUUUCUUUGCAUGAGAUUUUCUGAAGUUGUGUAAGAGGGCAGUGACUGAUAAAACAACUACAAAAUCCUCAUUUUUGGCUGUUAUCCUUUUAGUUAAGCUUAUUGCCCAUAUGACCUAUGCAUUGCUUUAUUUAAUUGGAAUAAAAUCAGCACUGUAUUUAA